rnacentral:rRNA from 1 species
UACGAAGGGGGCUAGCGUUGCUCGGAAUCACUGGGCGUAAAGCGCACGUAGGCGGGUCUUUAAGUCAGGGGUAAAAUCCUGGAGCUCAACUCCAGAACUGCCUUUGAUACUGAGGAUCUCGAGUCCGGGAGAGGUGAGUGGAACUCCGAGUGUAGAGGUGAAAUUCGUAGAUAUUCGGAAGAACACCAGUGGCGAAGGCGGCUCACUGGCCCGGUACUGACGCUGAGGUGCGAAAGCGUGGGGAGCAAACAGG